AUUGAACGCUGGCGGCAUGCCUAACACAUGCAAGUCGGGCGAGCGGCGGACGGGUGAGUAAUGUAUAGGCACUGCCUGAUGGCGGGGGAUAAAUACUGGAAAAGGUAGCUAAAACCGCAUACCAUCCAAUAACCCAUAGGGGAUUAGCUGGUAGGGGGGGUAACGGCUUACCUAGGCGACGAUCCCUAGCUGGUCUGAGAGGAUGAUCGGCCACAUGGGGACUGAGACAGGGCCCAGACCCCUACGGAGGAAGCAGUGGGGAAUAUUGCACAAUGGGCGCAAGCCGGAUGAAGACCGCCCGGGUGGAUGAAGAAGGCCUUAGGGUUGUAAAGUACGUUCAGUGGGGAGGCGUUACCGAAAGAAGAAGCACCGGCUAACUCCGUGCCAGCAGCCGCGGUAAUAC
rnacentral:rRNA from 1 species